rnacentral:rRNA from 1 species
GACGAACGCUGGCGGCGUGCUUAACACAUGCAAGUCGAACGGUAAGGCCCUUCGGGGUACACGAGUGGCGAACGGGUGAGUAACACGUGGGUGAUCUGCCCUGCACUUCGGGAUAAGCCUGGGAAACUGGGUCUAAUACCGGAUAGGACCACUGCCUGCAUGGGUGGUGGUGGAAAGCUUUUGCGGUGUGGGAUGGGCCCGCGGCCUAUCAGGCUUGUUGGUGGGGUGAUGGCCUACCAAGGCGACGACGGGUAGCCGGCCUGAGAGGGUGACCGGCCACAGUGGGACGGAGAUCCGCCCCAGCCCCUUACGGGAGGAAGCAGUGGGGAAUAUUGCACAAUGGGCGCAAGCCUGAUGCAGCGCCGCCGCGUGGGGGAGGGCGGCCUUCGGGUUGUAACCCUCUUUCAGCACCGACGAAGCGCAAGUGACGGUAGGUGCAGAAGAAGGACCGCCCAACUACGUGCCAGCCGCCGCAGUAA